GCUAAACGCGAAGAACCUUACCAAGGCUUGACAUACACCAGAACACCCUAGAAAUAGGGGACUCUUUGGACACUCGUAUACAGGUGGUGCAUGGUUGUCGUCAGCUCGUGUCGUGAGAUGUUGGGUUAAGUCCCGCAACGAGCGCAACCCUCGUUCUAUGUUGCCAGCGGUUCGGCCGGGAACUCAUAGGAGACUGCCGGGGUCAACUCGGAGGAAGGUGGGGAUGACGUCAAAUCAUCAUGCCCCUUAUGUCUUGGGCUUCACGCAUGCUACAAUGGCCGGUACAAAGGGCUGCAAUACCGUAAGGUGGAGCGAAUCCCAAAAAGCCGGUCUCAGUUCGGAUUGAGGUCUGCAACUCGACCUCAUGAAGUCAGAGUCGCUAGUAAUCGCAGAUCAGCAACGCUGCGGUGAAUACGUUCCCGGGUCUUGUACACACCG
rnacentral:rRNA from 1 species